UGGGGAAUAUUGGACAAUGGGCGAAAGCCUGAUCCAGCCAUGCCGCGCGUGUGAAGAAGGUCUUCGGAUUGUAAAGCACUUUAAGUUGGGAGGAAGGGCAGUAAGCGAAUACCUUGCUGUUUUGACGUUACCGACAGAAUAAGCACCGGCUAACUCUGUGCCAGCAGCCGCGGUAAUACAGAGGGUGCAAGCGUUAAUCGGAAUUACUGGGCGUAAAGCGCGCGUAGGUGGUUCGUUAAGUUGAAUGUGAAAGCCCCGGGCUCAACCUGGGAACUGCAUCCAACACUGGCGAGCUAGAGUAGGGCAGAGGGUGGUGGAAUUUCCUGUGUAGCGGUGAAAUGCGUAGAUAUAGGAAGGAACACCAGUGGCGAAGGCGACCACCUGGGCUCAUACUGACACUGAGGUGCGAAAGCGUGGGGAGCAAACAGG
rnacentral:rRNA from 1 species